CACAGCCCAAGAGGAGCUGCAGCUGGACCAAGUGACAGGUUCAGGGGACCAGACAGAGGAGGCUACAGCGUCCGGAUCUGGCAGCAAACUUAUCUUCCCGGGCUCUGCCAUUAGUGUGUUUCUUGAGGGAUUCAGGAAGACCUGUGAGGGCCCCAAUCCAAAUUAUAAGCUAAGGGAAAAUUGUGCCGGAAAGAUCAAAAGGGUGACGCAAUUGUUGAACUACAUGGCGAAGGAUGAGACCUACCAAUCCAAUCUCAUUUUCCUGACUAACCAUGACAAAAUAAGGGGGUGAAAGACAGCAAGGAAGCCAAGGUGGUUUCCAGAAAGACCCUGCUGGAGUGCCAGUCUCUUGCCAAGGCCAAGAUCCCAGAAGUGCUG